rnacentral:rRNA from 1 species
CCUACGGGAGGCAGCAGUGGGGAAUAUUGGACAAUGGGGGAAACCCUGAUCCAGCCAUGCCGCGUGUGUGAAGAAGGCCUUAGGGUUGUAAAGCACUUUCAGUGGGGAGGAAGGCUUCAGAUUAAUACUCUGGAGUACUUGACGUUACCCACAGAAGAAGCACCGGCUAAUUUCGUGCCAGCAGCCGCGGUAAU